UCCGGUAUGGUCUAGUGGCUAGGAUACCUGGCUCUCACCCAGGAGGCUCGGAUUCGAUUCCCGGUACCGGAA
rnacentral:tRNA from 1 species